rnacentral:rRNA from 1 species
AUUGAACGCUGGCGGCAGGCCUAACACAUGCAAGUCGAGCGGAUGAAGGGAGCUUGCUCCUGGAUUCAGCGGCGGACGGGUGAGUAAUGCCUAGGAAUCUGCCUGGUAGUGGGGAUAACGUCCGGAAACGGGCGCUAAUACUGCAUACGUCCUGAGGGAGAAAGUGGGGGAUCUUCGGACCUCACGCUAUCAGAUGAGCCUAGGUCGGAUUAGCUAGUUGGUGGGGUAAAGGCCUACCAAGGCGACGAUCCGUAACUGGUCUGAGAGGAUGAUCAGUCACACUGGAACUGAGACACGGUCCAGACUCCUACGGGAGGCAGCAGUGGGGAAUAUUGGACAAUGGGCGAAAGCCUGAUCCAGCCAUGCCGCGUGUGUGAAGAAGGUCUUCGGAUUGUAAAGCACUUUAAGUUGGGAGGAAGGGCAGUAAGUUAAUACCUUGCUGUUUUGACGUUACCAACAGAAUAAGCACCGGCUAACUUCGUG